rnacentral:lncRNA from 1 species
AGGGCACUGAACCAUGAAUAAACAGCACGUGUCUGUCCCCAGCACCCUGCUGACCCACUCCUCGCAGGAGAAAACGGGGCAGCACAUAAAUAAAAUAGUGCCCAUCCCCUCUGCCCAGUGACGCCAGGCCCCACGCACAGCCCAGCCCCACUAAACAGGGGGUGUGGGACCACCAGGCUCGGGGUCUCACAGGGCUCCCGAGGGUGUGCUUGGAGCUGUUCCUUGGGGUUAAGGCUGUUGGGAAAGAUUCCACCCUCCCUCGAAGGGGCUCGCUGUGACCCCUGCCCUCCACACGCCCUAAGCAGCUGUCGGGACGGGCCCUGGUGCAGUGUCCCGCUCUGUUUCUCCUCUGGUUUUACCCGCUCUGUUGGCAGGUAAACAAGCUGCCUGAGAGCCGAGCUGUGUGCCGGAUCCCGUGCCGGGAGGUGAAACGCCGCUUGGCAGGGCAGGGGCAGCCGCCAGCUGAGUCAGAACAGCUGCUUAGCAAAAGAUCUGAAGAGGUUUUGGAAGCAGUUAGAAAAAGAAGCAGGAAAGCCUGAGGCAAGAAAAUGUGCCUUUAUUCUGAAGACCCUCAAAAUGCCUUCAGAGUACUACUUGUUUGUGGAAGCAUUUUGCAAGAACCCUGGCAUCACUUGGGUUAUGAAGCUGCAGGUCUGGCGAGGAGGCUGGGACAGGAGGAUUUGUCUUACCCUUGUGAGAAGUGACUGGGAGGUAAUUAUGCAAACUAACAUGUGAAUUACAGCCGGGAGGAUAGCAGCUAGUGAUUAUCUAACUCUACAAAUGGGAAUGUGUUAAUUGGCAACAAAACCCUUAUAUUAAGCUGAUGUUAUGCCCCACAACCUCAAUUAACACGGUAAAUAACCAGAACACAGUAAACAAGGAUAUAUGAAAAGCCUGUGAUUACUGAAAUUAUACCAACAGCAUAAACAGUUUGUGGCUGACCUCAAAACUUGCAGGCAAGUAAAAAUAAACCUCAUGUUACUCCUUCUGGUGUUGUGAUG